rnacentral:rRNA from 1 species
CCUACGGGAGGCAGCAGUGAGGAAUAUUGCUCAAUGGGCGUAAGCCUGAACCAGCCAAGUCGUGUGAGGGAUGAAGGUUCUAGGGAUCGUAAACCUCUUUUAUAAGGGAGUAAAGUGCGGGACGUGUCCCGUUUUGUCUGUACCUUAUGCAUAAGGCUCGGCUAACUCCGUGCCAGCAGCCGCGGUAAUACGGAGGGUCCGAGCGUUAUCCGGCUUUAUUGGGAGUAACGAGUGCGUAGGCGGGCUUUUAAGUCAGCGGUGAAAGUCUGUGGCUUAACCAUAGAAUUGCCGUUGAAACUGGGAGUCUUGAGUAUGUUAGAGGCAGGCGGAAUGCGUGGUGUAGCGGUGAAAUGCUUAGAGAUCACGCAGAACCCUGAUUGCGAAGGCAGCCUGCCAAGCCAUGACUGACGCUGAUGCACGAAAGCGUGGGGAUCAAACAGGAUUAGAUACCCCUGUAGUC